UACGUAGGGCGCAAGCGUUGUCCGGAAUUAUUGGGCGUAAAGAGCUCGUAGGCGGCUUGUCACGUCGGGUGUGAAAGCCCGGGGCUUAACCCCGGGUCUGCAUUCGAUACGGGCAGGCUAGAGUGUGGUAGGGGAGAUCGGAAUUCCUGGUGUAGCGGUGAAAUGCGCAGAUAUCAGGAGGAACACCGGUGGCGAAGGCGGUUCUCUGGGCAUUACCUGACGCUGAGGAGCGAAAGCGUGGGGAGCGAACAGG
rnacentral:rRNA from 1 species